ensembl:lncRNA
CGGAAUACCACCAGCUGCCAGGGAGAACGAGCUUGGAGCUAGCGGCAGGGCUUAACCCGGCGAAGCUCUGAGAUGGGUUGCUGAAGGAUUCCGGGAGGCAGCUGCAACAGGGCAUCACUCACUGUCCAGGCAUAUCCGUUUCUGAGUGCAAAAGGAAGAACUUGAGCGAGCGGCAAUUGGAGUGAAAAUUGCUUUGUAGUAUCUAAAAGCAGCAUGGAUCGUGGGCAGCUGAGCUGGGCUACCCUCAAAGGACUGUUACAUUUUUAACCUUCCCUGAAGAAAUUCUAACACUUCAUAAAAAGAAAAUGUACCAUACGUAGUGAUCCUCUCAAUCUUCCAGUGGGAGAAGAUAAUAUGUGCUGGCAUUAUGGAUCCCUAAUCUUUGGAACAACAAAUCAACAGAAAUUCAUGUGAAAAUCAUUGACCACCAUAUGCUGCUCCAGCUUCCUUCAGCUCCUAAUUCUAGGAGCUUGACAACUAAAGCAAACCACAGACAGCCACAGGCACUCACUGCCAGCCCUGACAAAAAAAAUCACAAAAGUCACCUCACAGGGAUUUUAUGGCUUUGGAUUGAACCACGAAGUAUUGGAUAUAUUUCAUACAAAAGCACUAUGGAAUGCAACUCAGUACAAGCAAGUCAUUCACAGGUAGUACAUCAAUACUCAGUGGUGGUCAGAAUUUGCUACCGACUACAAUUUUGCCUCAUAGAAUAAUGAAGACCUCCAUCAGGUUCUGCAGAGCUCCUUUACUUUCCUGAAAUGUAACAAAUAACAAUUAAUUAUAU